UGCAUUGAUUCAAGCAACCACAAAAAUUGAAGAUAGAACUGAAAUACACAAGCAAUUCUAACUCAUAUUCUACGGCACAGAAAAAUAACAGAGCCCAGAGAAAUAGCAUUUUCAAAGGUUUGACACAUCCAAACGACUCAGCACUCAUACCAAUGAGGCAAACUAGAGACACGAAGGCACGGAGGAUAAAUGCUUUGCGUGGUGUCCACCAAGCAGUAAGAAAGCCUAAAUCAUGGGGCCUCUGGAAAACAAGGCCGGAAUGAAGAACAGCAGGGUGGGGGGCAGUUGAACAAGAUAGUCUUUGCCAUGGUGAUGUCAUUACUUUCUCUAAUAGUCCAUAGUUUAGAUGUUGGUUGAUUUUAUUUCUCAUCUCUUCUGUUAUUUUAGAGAACUAACAUUGCAAAUUUGAAUGAAACUACCUCAAAUGUUAACACCCUUUUCAUUGUCUUGAACUGUAACUUACGUAUAUUUCAAAAAUAUAAAUGAAAAGACCCUGUGAUUUUCAAAAAAUAAAUUAUGACCUGCUUGGAAGAAUCCCAAAAUGCAAGGAAGAUACUAAGUUGGAUAGUUUAG